rnacentral:lncRNA from 1 species
UAUUCAUGAAGUUCCUAAGGUACUCUUUAUCGUGAAAGUAUCUUAUUUCUCCAUCAAUUUUGAAAGAUAGUUUUGCAGGGUACAUCAAUCUGGGUUGGAGGCUGUUUUCCUUUAGGGCUUGAAAUACAUCACUCCAAGCUCUUCUUGCCUUGGUGGUUUGUGUUGAGAAGUCUGCUGUGAUUCUGAUGGGCUUUCCUUUGUAUGUGAUUAGUUUCUUUUCUCUCACUGCUUGUAGAAUUUUGUUCUUGGGUUUCUGGAAUCCUAACUAUUAUAUGUCUAUGUGAAGUUUUUUUUUUGAUCAAGUCUAGUUGGAGUCUUAUAUGCCUCACUUAUCUGUAUGUCAUGUUCUUUUCUCCUGCUUGGGAAGUUUUCUGUCAUUACUUUUGUGAACAGUUUUUUUAUGUCAUCUGUACUCUCUCCUGUUUCUUCAUUGACUCCAAUCAGUCUUAUGUUAUGCUUCUUUGCAUCAUCUAGCAACUGCUGGAUUGCUUUCUCAUGGUCCCUUACAAUUUUAAAGUAAUUUUUAUUUUCCUGGUCACUAAUUGCAGUCUUAUCUUCUAUAUCUGAAAUUCUGUCCUCACAUUGGUUCAUUCUGCUGUGUAGACUUUCAAUGGAGUGCUUAAUCUCCUGGAAAUCUGUUUGCAUGUUUUAUGGUUUCCAUUUGUUUCCUAUGUUGGAAUUCCAUCAUGUUCCUCAGAUCCUCUAUUUUUUAAAUCUGUGUCCUCUCUAGAUUUAUUAAUCAUGUCUUGUACUAUGGGCACAAUCUCUGCUGUUAUCUGAGAAAUUAUUUCUGAUUUCAUUUUUUCCAGAUCCUCUUUUGUUGCUAGUUCAGGGAGUCCAGGUGGUUGAGUAUCAGAUUGUUCCAUCU